rnacentral:miRNA from 1 species
UUAAAUGUGCCAACUGGUAAUG